GACCGAUAAAGGCAAACUCCGAGAAAUCGGAGGACGCAAAGCCCCGCCGAAAGGCGGACCCCGCAUGGUCGCGGGGACGGGACUUCACUCUCGAAAGAGGGAAAGUCGGCCGGGUUGCCGAA
rnacentral:ncRNA from 1 species